UGAAAUAAAACAAAGAAGCACAAAGAAAAAGAAAAGGAAUGAAACACGCGUCUCUUUGUUCCUUGUUUUCAUUCAUUUUUCUUUUGCUUUGUACUUUUCUUCUUACAAUAUACAACUAAAAAUCUCCUGUAAUUUCUGUUUCGUUCUCACUUUGCCCUAAUUUAAUUCAUGCUUCCGUUCCACUUCAUUAUAAUUAAAUUAGGCACAAAGGUGAACGAAAAGAGAAAUUCCGGAAGGUUAGACAGGCGGUUGGCUUCCUAUUUCCCGUGUGUCGUUCUCUUUGUUUAAUAAAAUUACAAGAAGGACGCGUGAAUUUAAU
rnacentral:ribozyme from 1 species